UUGAACGCUGGCGGCAUGCCUUACACAUGCAAGUCGAACGGUAGCAGGUCUUCGGAUGCUGACGAGUGGCGAACGGGUGAGUAAUACAUCGGAACGUGCCUAGUAGUGGGGGAUAACUACUCGAAAGAGUAGCUAAUACCGCAUGAGAUCUACGGAUGAAAGCAGGGGACCUUCGGGCCUUGUGCUACUAGAGCGGCCGAUGGCAGAUUAGGUAGUUGGUGGGAUAAAAGCUUACCAAGCCGACGAUCUGUAGCUGGUCUGAGAGGACGACCAGCCACACUGGGACUGAGACACGGCCCAGACUCCUACGGGAGGCAGCAGUGGGGAAUUUUGGACAAUGGGCGAAAGCCUGAUCCAGCAAUGCCGCGUGCAGGAUGAAGGCCUUCGGGUUGUAAACUGCUUUUGUACGGAACGAAAAAGCUCCUUCUAAUACAGGGGGCCCAUGACGGUACCGUAAGAAUAAGCACUGGCUAACUACGUGCCAGCAGCCGCCGUAACAC
rnacentral:rRNA from 1 species